rnacentral:rRNA from 1 species
UACGUAGGGGGCAAGCGUUGUCCGGAUUUAUUGGGCGUAAAGAGCGUGUAGGCGGCCAGACAGGUCAGCUGUGAAAACUCGAGGCUCAACCUCGAGACGCCGGUUGAAACCAUCUGGCUAGAGUCCGGAAGAGGAGAGUGGAAUUCCUGGUGUAGCGGUGAAAUGCGCAGAUAUCAGGAAGAACACCCGUGGCUAAGGCGGCUCUCUAGUACGGUACUGACGCUGAGACGCGAAAGCGUGGGGAGCGAACAGG